rnacentral:rRNA from 1 species
AUGACUAGGGAUAACCUUAGGAAGAGACACAUCACCAAACCCCUUGAUUGUGUUUACUACUUGGAACAAGAGUCUUGUUCUCACCUAUUUUUUGAAUAUAUAGUUGCUAAACAUCUCUGGGCCCACAUCGAGGAAUAUUUCUCUAGUCAGAUUGGCUCAUCCUCCGAAUCUGUCGCCAGAUUCUGGAUUGCUACCAAAAAGUGCUCAGUUUUAAACAUUGUUAGCUCAGCUCUUUGGUGCCUCUGGAAAUAUAGAAAUGCUAUGAUUUUCAGUAACACCUCCUGGAUUUGCAUUCCGCAGGUCUUGAGGUUGAUCAGGAACAUGGUGAGGAACUGGGCGAUUCUCUCCUCCGGAUCAGACAAGGACAAGUUGAUGAGCUUCGUGGAAACCCUAACAAGAUCCCUCCAGAAACCGUUGGCGAUCACUUGUGGCUGA